UACAGAGGGUGCAAGCGUUAAUCGGAUUUACUGGGCGUAAAGGGUGCGUAGGUGGUUAUUUAAGUUGGAUGUGAAAUCCCUGGGCUUAACCUAGGAACUGCAUUCAAAACUGGGUAACUGGAGUACUGUAGAGGGUAGUGGAAUUUCCGGUGUAGCGGUGAAAUGCGUAGAGAUCGGAAGGAACAUCAGUGGCGAAGGCGGCUACCUGGACAGAUACUGACACUGAGGCACGAGAGCGUGGGGAGCAAACAGG
rnacentral:rRNA from 1 species